GCUCAACCGGGGAGGGUCAUUGGAAACUGGGAAACUUGAGUGCAGAAGAGGAGAGUGGAAUUCCACGUGUAGCGGUGAAAUGCGUAGAGAUGUGGAGGAACACCAGUGGCGAAGGCGACUCUCUGGUCUGUAACUGACGCUGAGGAGCGAAAGCGUGGGGAGCGAACAGGAUUAGAUACCCUGGUAGUCCACGCCGUAAACGAUGAGUGCUAAGUGUUAGGGGGUUUCCGCCCCUUAGUGCUGCAGCUAACGCAUUAAGCACUCCGCCUGGGGAGUACGGUCGCAAGACUGUAACUCAAAGGAAUUGACGGGGGCCCGCACAAGCGGUGGAGCAUGUGGUUUAAUUCGAAGCAACGCGAAGAACCUUACCAGGUCUUGACAUCCUCUGACAACCCUAGAGAUAGGGCUUUCCCUUCGGGGACAGAGUGACAGGUGGUGCAUGGUUGUCGUCAGCUCGUGUCGUGAGAUGUUGGGUUAAGUCCCGCAACGAGCGCAACCCUUGAUCUUAGUUGCCAGCAUUCAGUUGGGCACUCUAAGGUGACUGCCGGUGACAAACCGGAGGAAGGUGGGGAUGACGUCAAAUCAUCAUGCCCCUUAUGACCUGGGCUACACACGUGCUACAAUGGACAGAACAAAG
rnacentral:rRNA from 1 species